rnacentral:rRNA from 1 species
UGCCAGCCGCCGCGGUAAUACGUAGGUGGCAAGCGUUGUCCGGAUUUACUGGGCGUAAAGCGCACGUAGGCGGAUCGUUAAGUGAGGGGUGAAAUCCCGGGGCUCAACCCCGGAACUGCCUUUCAUACUGGCGAUCUGGAGUUCGAGAGAGGUGAGUGGAAUUCCGAGUGUAGAGGUGAAAUUCGUAGAUAUUCGGAAGAACACCAGUGGCGAAGGCGGCUCACUGGCUCGAUACUGACGCUGAGGUGCCAAAGCGUGGGGAGCAAACAGGAUUAGAUA